UUGAUGCCCAUUUUUGGCCUCAAAAACGGACGUCGAAAACGACUUUUUCAGGAUUUUCAAAGUGCUCUCAUUCCCUUAGUUCUGCUCGGAUGCUGUUAUAACCCGGUGUUUUCGUGAUCUAGGUGACCCAAAUAAGACGUUGGUAUACUUAGUUUGAUUUCGAAAAAAAUCAAUUUUUGGUGAAAAAAUUCGAUACGGGGGGGUAUACCCGAAAAGUGAAAAAACCCAAACUUUGAAGGUCGAUAUCUCGGCUUCUAUAGGAGCUAUCGGGAAAAUUCCAACGGUUUUGUCUUAGUUUCGUCGUUCUGAAUCCAACGAGACCAUCCACAAGGUCGUAGCUCUUCUAAUAGCUGAGAUAUGGCAUUUUUGAUGCCCAUUUUUGGCCUCAAAAACGGACGUCGAAAACGACUUUUUCAGGAUUUUCAAAGUGCUCUCAUUCCCUUAGUUCUGCUCGGAUCCUGUUAUAACCCGGUGUUUUCGUGAUCUAGGUGAUCAGAAUAAGACGUUGGUAUACUUAGUUUGAUUUCGAAAAAAAUCAAUUUUUGGUGAAAAAAUUCGAUACGGGGGGGUAUACCCGAAAAGUAAAAAAACCCAAACUUUGAAGGUCGAUAUCUCGGCUUCUAUAGGAGCUAUCGGGAAAAUUCCAACGGUUUUGUCUUAGUUUCGUCGUUCUGAAUCCAACGAGACCAUCCACAAGGUCGUAGCUCUUCUGAUAGCUGAGAUAUGGCAUUUUUGAUGCCCAUUUUUGGCCUCAAAAACGGACGUCGAAAACUACUUUUUCAGGAUUUUCAAAGUGCUCUCAUUCCCUUAGUUCUGCUCGGAUGCUGUUAUAACCCGGUGUUUUCGUGAUCUAGGUGACCCAAAUAAGACGUUGGUAUACUUAGUUUGAUUUCGAAAAAAAUCAAUUUUUGGUGAAAAAAUUCGAUACGGGGGGGUAUACCCGAAAAGUGAAAAAACCCAAACUUUGAAGGUCGAUAUCUCGGCUUCUAUAGGAGCUAUCGGGAAAAUUCCAACGGUUUUGUCUUAGUUUCGUCGUUCUGAAUCCAACGAGACCAUCCACAAGGUCGUAGCUCUUCUAAUAGCUGAGAUAUGGCAAUUUUGAUGCCCAUUUUUGGCCUCAAAAACGGACGUCGAAAACGACUUUUUCAGGAUUUUCAAAGUGCUCUCAUUCCCUUAGUUCUGCUCGGAUCCUGUUAUAACCCGGUGUUUUCGUGAUCUAGGUGAUCAGAAUAAGACGUUG